GUUCUCUUACCCCUAAGCUUGUGAAAUGCUUAAUUUGUGCACAAGAUUGGUUACGUGCUUUGCCUCUCCUAAUUCAAGUUGAAAAAAAUAUGGUUGAAAUUGAAGCUCUUGAAUCAGCCCUAUCUUCUAUUUAAGGACUUUCAUAUCGAGUUUACUUGGGUAGAUACAGUCUCACUUGAUGAAGCUGCAAGGUUGUUGCUUGGUAACGAUUCAUCACAGAUGAGAAGUAAUAAACCUUCUGAUUUCCCUCUCUCCUUUUGAACUUCUCUUGAUUUCUCACAUCAUGCUGACAUCAAUUGCAAUUGUAUGGUACAUUAAACUUAUAUGCUGUCUUCAGGAGAGCUGAAAUCAAUGAAACUUUUUUUUUUGUUUGGUUUU